rnacentral:lncRNA from 1 species
CGGUGUCCAUUGUCGUCAGAGAUGCCAAGGUGGGUCAGUUUAUUCUACUAUGACCGAAUAAGAAGAGAUGGGUGGGUUCAGUUGUGGCACAUGAAGUUUGGUCGGCAGGGGUCAUGAUCGCUGCCUCUUACCAUGAAAUACUAUGGGAAGUGUCGUAGAGGCUCGUUGCUGCAUGAACAGGGCCCUUGAAGGAAUGUGCUGGUGAGGGUUUUCUUGAAUGCAGCAUCGAGUUUUAUAAUUUGGAGUCAAUAGUUUGUACGAGUAAAUUUAGUUUUUCUGAAGAGUCGGG